AGAGUUUGAUCCUGGCUCAGGAUGAACGCUGGCGGUAUGCUUAACACAUGCAAGUCGAACGGUCUUUUCGGAGAUAGUGGCGGACGGGUGAGUAACGCGUGAGAAUCUGCAUUCAGGUCGGGGACAACCACUGGAAACGGUGGCUAAUACCGGAUGUGCCGAGAGGUAAAAGGCUUGCCGCCUGGAAAUGAGCUCGCGUCUGAUUAGCUAGUAGGUGUGGUAAAAGCGCACCUAGGCGACGAUCAGUAGCUGGUCUGAGAGGAUGAUCAGCCACACUGGGACUGAGACACGGCCCAGACCCCUACGGGAGGCAGCAGUGGGGAAUUUUCCGCAAUGGGCGAAAGCCUGACGCAGCGACGCCGCGUGGAUGAUGAAGGCCUUUGCGUCGUAAAAUCCUGUCAGAUGGAAAGAAAUGUACAUGUGCUAAUAUCACUUGUAUUUGACGGUACCAUCAAAGGAAGCACCGGCUAACUCCGUGCCAGCAGCCGCGGUAAUACGGAGGAUGCAAGCGUUAUCCGGAAUGAUUGGGCGUAAAGGGUCCGCAGGUGGCUAUGUAAGUCUGCUGUUAAAGAAUGAGGCUUAACCUCAUCAGAGCAGUGGAAACUACACAGCUAGAGUGCGUUCGGGGUAGAGGGAAUUCCUGGUGUAGCGGUGAAAUGCGUAGAUAUCAGGAAGAACACCAGUGGCGAAAGCGCUCUACUAGGCCGCAACUGACACUGAGGGACGAAAGCUAGGGGAGCGAAUGGGAUUAGAUACCCCAGUAGUCCUAGCCGUAAACGAUGGAUACUAGGCGUGGCUUGUAUCGACCCGAGCCGUGCCGGAGCUAACGCGUUAAGUAUCCCGCCUGGGGAGUACGCACGCAAGUGUGAAACUCAAAGGAAUUGACGGGGGCCCGCACAAGCGGUGGAGUAUGUGGUUUAAUUCGAUGCAACGCGAAGAACCUUACCAAGUCUUGACAUGUCGCGAAUCCUGCCGAAAGGUGGGAGUGCCUUCGGGAGCGCGAACACAGGUGGUGCAUGGCUGUCGUCAGCUCGUGUCGUGAGAUGUUGGGUUAAGUCCCGCAACGAGCGCAACCCUCGUUUUUAGUUGCCAGCAUGAAGAUGGGCACUCUAGAGAGACUGCCGGUGACAAACCGGAGGAAGGUGGGGAUGACGUCAAGUCAGCAUGCCCCUUACGUCUUGGGCUACACACGUACUACAAUGCUACGGACAAAGGGCAGCGACACAGCGAUGUGAAGCAAAUCUCAUAAACCGUAGCUCAGUUCAGAUCGCAGGCUGCAACUCGCCUGCGUGAAGUAGGAAUCGCUAGUAAUUGCAGGUCAGCAUACUGCAGUGAAUUCGUUCCCGGGCCUUGUACACACCGCCCGUCACACCAUGGAAGCUGGUCACGCCCGAAGUCGUUACCCCAACUUUUAGGAGAGGGGGACGCCGAAGGUAGGACUGGUGACUGGGGUGAAGUCGUAACAAGGUA
rnacentral:rRNA from 1 species